AGAGUUUGAUCCUGGCUCAGGACGAACGCUGGCGGCGUGCCUAAUACAUGCAAGUCGAGCGAAUCUUUGGGAGCUUGCUCCCAAUGGUUAGCGGCGGACGGGUGAGUAACACGUGGGCAACCUACCUGUAAGACUGGGAUAACUUCGGGAAACCGGAGCUAAUACCGGAUAAUCCAUUUCCUCUCAUGAGGAAAUGCUGAAAGUCGGUUUCGGCUGACACUUACAGAUGGGCCCGUGGCGCAUUAGCUAGUUGGUGAGGUAACGGCUCACCAAGGCGACGAUGCGUAGCCGACCUGAGAGGGUGAUCGGCCACACUGGGACUGAGACACGGCCCAGACUCCUACGGGAGGCAGCAGUAGGGAAUCUUCCACAAUGGACGAAAGUCUGAUGGAGCAACGCCGCGUGAGCGAUGAAGGCCUUCGGGUCGUAAAGCUCUGUUGUUAGGGAAGAACAAGUACCGGAGUAACUGCCGGUACCUUGACGGUACCUAACCAGAAAGCCACGGCUAACUACGUGCCAGCAGCCGCGGUAAUACGUAGGUGGCAAGCGUUGUCCGGAAUUAUUGGGCGUAAAGCGCGCGCAGGCGGUCCUUUAAGUCUGAUGUGAAAGCCCACGGCUCAACCGUGGAGGGUCAUUGGAAACUGGGGGACUUGAGUGCAGAAGAGGAAAGCGGAAUUCCACGUGUAGCGGUGAAAUGCGUAGAGAUGUGGAGGAACACCAGUGGCGAAGGCGGCUUUCUGGUCUGUAACUGACGCUGAGGCGCGAAAGCGUGGGGAGCAAACAGGAUUAGAUACCCCGGUAGUCC
rnacentral:rRNA from 1 species